GAUGAACGCUGGCGGCGUGCUUAACACAUGCCAGUCGAACGAUGAAGCCCAGCUUGCUGGGUGGAUCAGUGGCGAACGGGUGAGUAACACGUGAGUAACCUGCCCUUAACUCUGGGAUAAGCCUGGGAAACUGGGUCUAAUACCGGAUAGGAGCGUCCACCGCAUGGUGGGUGUUGGAAAGAUUUAUCGGUUUUGGAUGGACUCGCGGCCUAUCAGCUUGUUGGUGAGGUAAUGGCUCACCAAGGCGACGACGGGUAGCCGGCCUGAGAGGGUGACCGGCCACACUGGGACUGAGACACGGCCCAGACUCCUACGGGAGGCAGCAGUGGGGAAUAUUGCACAAUGGGCGCAAGCCUGAUGCAGCGACGCCGCGUGAGGGAUGACGGCCUUCGGGUUGUAAACCUCUUUCAGUAGGGAAGAAGCGAAAGUGACGGUACCUGCAGAAGAAGCACCGGCUAACUACGUG
rnacentral:rRNA from 1 species